GAUGAAGAACGUAGCGAAAUGCGAUACUUGGUGUGAAUUGCAGAAUCCCGUGAACCAUCGAGUCUUUGAACGCAAGUUGAGCCCGAAGCCAUUAGGCCGAGGGUACGCCUGCCUGGGCGUCACACGUCGUUGCCCCCCCAUCUACUCCUUCGGGAUUGCGGGGGGCGGAUGAUGGCCUCCCGUGCGCCUUGUCGCGCGGUUGGCAUAAAUGCCAAGUCCUCGGCGACGCACGCCACGACAAUCGGUGGUUGCGAAACCUCGGUUGCCCGUCGUGUGCGGUCGUCGCGCAUCGAGGGCUCGAAAAAAUUGUCGGGCUCCGGCUCGGCUUUCAACGCGACCCCAGGUCAGGCGGGGUUACCCGCUGAAUUUAAGCAUAUCAAUAAGCGGAGGA
rnacentral:misc_RNA from 1 species